GCCCAGACUCCUACGGGAGGCAGCAGUGAGGAAUAUUGGUCAAUGGUCGGGAGACUGAACCAGCCAAGCCGCGUGAGGGAUGAAGGUACAGAGUAUCGUAAACCUCUUUUGUCAGGGAACAAAGGCGGGGACGUGUCCCCGGAUGAGUGUACCUGAAGAAAAAGCAUCGGCUAACUCCGUGCCAGCAGCCGCGGUAAUACGGAGGAUGCGAGCGUUAUCCGGAUUUAUUGGGUUUAAAGGGUGCGCAGGCGGAAGAUAAAGUCAGCGGUAAAAUUGAGAGGCGCAACCUCUUCGAGCCGUUGAAACUGGUUUUCUUGAGUGAGUGAGAAGUAUGCGGAAUGCGUGGUGUAGCGGUGAAAUGCAUAGAUAUCACGCAGAACUCCGAUUGCGAAGGCAGCAUACCGGCGCUCAACUGACGCUCAUGCACGAAAGUGUGGGUAUCGAACAGGAUUAGAUACCCUGGUAAAA
rnacentral:rRNA from 1 species